AGGAAUUGGCGGGGGAGCACCGCAACGGGAGGAGCGUGCGGUUUAAUUGGAUUCAACACCGGAAAACUCACCAAGGGCGACUGUUACAUGAAAGCCAGGCCGAUGACCUUGCUAGAUUUUCAGAGAGGUGGUGCAUGGCCGUCGUCAGUUCGUACCGUAAGGCGUUCUCUUAAGUGAGAUAACGAACGAGACCCUCACCGAUAAUUGCUACCCCUUCCUCCGGGGAGGGGGCACAUUAUAGGGACCGCUGGCGCUAAGCCAGAGGAAGGAGAGGUCAACGGUAGGUCAGUAUGCCCCGAAUCUCUUGGGCUACACGCGCGCUACAAAGGGCGGGACAAUGGGCUCCGACGCCGAGAGGCGGAGGCAAUCCCGAAACCCGUCCGUAGUUCGGAUCGGGGGUUGUAACUCACCCCCGUGAAGCUGGAUUCCGUAGUAAUCGCGAAUCAACAACUCGCGGUGAAUAUGCCCCUGCUCCUUGCACACACCGC
rnacentral:rRNA from 1 species